rnacentral:lncRNA from 1 species
GUUCCAAUCGCUGUGAUUUGGGGGAGGGAUCUUGUAGUUUGGGUUGCCUUUGUUGCCCUGUCGUCCCAGGGCAGGUUACAAUCAUAAAGCACAAUAUUAAAAAUAACAUCAUAUUACAAAAAUAAGGCGAGUUCAAAAGUAUAAAUCUCAAAUGUUGAAAGGCAGGGUAAAGAGGUGUGUCUUCAGUCCCUGUUUCUGUCACUGAAGAAAACAAGAGUUUUCCCAUUCUCUUCAGAGCUUUAACUGUGACUUAACUGUGGCGGCCUGAUACUUUAUCAAUUGUUCUUUUCCUAGCAAAUAACUAAAAAUUGUAAGUCUUUCAUUAUCUUCACAGAGG